GUCCACGCCGUAAACGAUGGAUACUAGCUGUUCGGAACUUGUUUCUGAGUGGCUAAGCGAAAGUGAUAAGUAUCCCACCUGGGGAGUACGUUCGCAAGAAUGAAACUCAAAGGAAUUGACGGGGGCCCGCACAAGCGGUGGAGCAUGUGGUUUAAUUCGAUGAUACGCGAGGAACCUUACCAGGGCUUAAAUGCAAUAUGACAGGGGUGGAAACACCCUUUCCUUCGGGCAGAUUGCAAGGUGCUGCAUGGUU
rnacentral:rRNA from 1 species